AAGAACCAAGGCUGACAAGACAUUAGCAAGCAAUUCAUAGAAUCAUCACUAGACACAUUGGCCGAUAGUAAGAGAAGACAUGCAGCAAGCAAUUUCAGUUAACAAGAAAGAAAUUACUGUUUAAAGCAUCAUAAGCCAUCUGAUUGCUAGCAUUGGACAUAAAUGGGAAGAUAUAAAUUGACAUUUUGUCCUAGUUUCACUGUUUUCAUCAGAACCAAACCGGAGAAACAUACUCAAUUUCUACUUAGCAAAACAGAAGAAAAGGCCAAUUCAGUAAGGACAGAACUCCUUUUCAACAUUUUAAAUCUAAUAAGUUCAACUUUCAAUUGUCUAAAUUUUGAACCCAUUCUCAGUAUUUCAAAUCUAAAAGGUCUAAACUUCCAAUCAUUUAAUUUUUCUCUUCAUAUCUAAAUUUCAAAUUAUACUGCUCCAUAUCUCUUGAUGUUUUUUUGGAUAUCAACCAAUAAAAGGUUAAAAAGCAAAAGGACAGCUAGACAUUAUACCUAAGUGGGAGUAA
rnacentral:lncRNA from 1 species